UACGUAGGGCGCAAGCGUUAUCCGGAAUUAUUGGGCGUAAAGAGCUCGUAGGCGGUUUGUCGCGUCUGCCGUGAAAGUCCGGGGCUCAACUCCGGAUCUGCGGUGGGUACGGGCAGACUAGAGUGAUGUAGGGGAGACUGGAAUUCCAGGUGUAGCGGUGAAAUGCGUAGAUAUCUGGAGGAACACCGGUGGCGAAGGCGGCAUCCUGGACCGGUAUUGACGCUGAGGCGCGAAAGCUAGGGGAGCAAACGGGG
rnacentral:rRNA from 1 species